rnacentral:rRNA from 1 species
CCUACGGGAGGCUGCAGUGGGGAAUAUUGGACAAUGGGCGAAAGCCUGAUCCAGCCAUGCCGCGUGUGUGAAGAAGGCCUUCGGGUUGUAAAGCACCUUCAGUGGGGAAGAAAGCCUUGGGGCUAAUACCCUCGAGGAAGGACAUCACCCACAGAAGAAGCACCGGCUAACUCCGUGCCAGCAGCCGCGGUAAUACGGAGGGUGCGAGCGUUAAUCGGAAUUACUGGGCGUAAAGCGCGCGUAGGCGGUCUGAUAAGCCGGUUGUGAAAGCCCCGGGCUCAACCUGGGAACGGCAUCCGGAACUGUCAGGCUAGAGUGCAGGAGAGGAAGGUAGAAUUCCCGGUGUAGCGGUGAAAUGCGUAGAGAUCGGGAGGAAUACCAGUGGCGAAGGCGGCCUUCUGGACUGACACUGACGCUGAGGUGCGAAAGCGUGGGUAGCAAACAGGAUUAGAUACCCCGGUAGUC